rnacentral:rRNA from 1 species
CCUACGGGCGGCAGCAGUGGGGAAUAUUGGACAAUGGGCGAAAGCCUGAUCCAGCCAUGCCGCGUGUGUGAAGAAGGCCUUCGGGUUGUAAAGCACUUUCAGUGGGGAAGAAAGCCUUGGGGCUAAUACCCUCGAGGAAGGACAUCACCCACAGAAGAAGCACCGGCUAACUCCGUGCCAGCAGCCGCGGUAAUACGGAGGGUGCGAGCGUUAAUCGGAAUUACUGGGCGUAAAGCGCGCGUAGGCGGUCUGAUAAGCCGGUUGUGAAAGCCCCGGGCUCAACCUGGGAACGGCAUCCGGAACUGUCAGGCUAGAGUGCAGGAGAGGAAGGUAGAAUUCCCGGUGUAGCGGUGAAAUGCGUAGAGAUCGGGAGGAAUACCAGUGGCGAAGGCGGCCUUCUGGACUGACACUGACGCUGAGGUGCGAAAGCGUGGGUAGCAAACAGGAUUAGAUACCCAGUAGUC